GGUGACAGAGGCUUAUCUGAUGAUCUUUGAAAGGGAGACACAUAUUGGACCAUGGGUUACUUCUAUUUAAUUAGUUGAACUGAGUGUUUCAGUGACUAACUAGGAUUUACUUUUAUGAUUACAGUAGCAAUUUACUGGUUUGGGCUCUUAUUUCAUGGAUUGCAGAUUUUGUACUUAGAAAAUUCUUCCCAAAAACGCUCAUUCGGUUUCUGCAACUGCAUUAUUUCCAAGCUUCCUUGGCUGUCACUUUGUGUUUUCUUUCUGUUGAGGACUGGCGGUGCCCCGUUUGUCAUUUGGAUUCUAUAUCUUCUCCUUCUCAGAAUUCCAGGGAUGAACUUGAUCUUAUUGUUGGCCCCUGCAAAAAACUUUGGUGGUGACUCUUGGUUACCUCAUCUAUGAUCUCAUAUCCUGCCUAUUCGACGACCAUGUGAACAUUGACAAUGCAGUUCAUCAUCUGGUCUGCAUUCUUGAUAUUGGGCCUGGCCUUUUCUAUGAAGGGUGAGUACUUUGUUCUCCUAGUAAAUUCAUUCACAUUC